rnacentral:rRNA from 1 species
GGGGAAUAUUGGACAAUGGGCGAAAGCCUGAUCCAGCCAUGCCGCGUGUGUGAAGAAGGCCUUCGGGUUGUAAAGCACUUUAAGCGAGGAGGAAGGUUCGUUACUUAAUACGUAACGGAAUUGACGUUACUCGCAGAAUAAGCACCGGCUAACUCUGUGCCAGCAGCCGCGGUAAUACAGAGGGUGCAAGCGUUAAUCGGAAUUACUGGGCGUAAAGCGCGCGUAGGCGGUUGUGUAAGUUGGAUGUGAAAUCCCCGGGCUUAACCUGGGCACUGCAUUCAAAACUGCACGGCUAGAGUAUGGGAGAGGAAGGUAGAAUUCCAGGUGUAGCGGUGAAAUGCGUAGAGAUCUGGAGGAAUACCGAUGGCGAAGGCAGCCUUCUGGCCUAAUACUGACGCUGAGGUGCGAAAGCAUGGGGAGCAAAC